UACGUAGGAGGCAAGCGUUGUCCGGAAUUACUGGGCGUAAAGCGCGUGUAGGUGGUGGGACAAGUCUGCUGUGAAAGCGCCUGGCUUAACCGGGCGAGGUCGGCGGAAACUGUCCGACUCGAGGACGGUAGAGGGGGGCGGAAUUCCCGGUGUAGUGGUGAAAUGCGUAGAGAUCGGGAGGAACACCUGUGGCGAAGGCGGCCCCCUGGGCCGGCCCUGACACUGAGACGCGAAGGCGUGGGGAGCGAACGGG
rnacentral:rRNA from 1 species